AGAACAGUGCCUGUCCAGGGGCACAAGGGUUCACUGAAGACUCAGGAGAGGGGUUUAGAGCACAGCCUCCCUCUCCAGGGUCAGGUUCACGGGAGCUGUUGGGGGCUCCUUCCCUCGCAGCAGUGACCACUCCAAGGACCACGGCCUGGACAUGAGCGGCAGCGGUGAGCUGGGAGCUGCUGGCCUGGAGUCUAGAUGAAUAUAGGCAGCAGCCAAAGGCCACAGUCACGACAAACCUACACACUCUCACCACUGUCAUCUCAUAUUGUCCUAAAAUUUCCAGCCAGUGCAAAAAAACAUGAAAAAGAAAAAAUACAGCCAUUGGAAAAGAGGAAAAGUAAUUGUUAUUAGCUGAUGAUGUGAAUGUCUUCCUGAAAACCUUAAGAGAACCAACUGGAAAACAACCAGAAAUGAGAGCAUGGAGUUAGGCAACCGCCGAUCUGCUUUCUGUCACUUGGGCGAGUUUUUCCCGUCCUGGGAUUUCAUAUCUCUGGAAUCCUGCAGUACGUAGCCCUCUGUCUGGCUUCCUCGCUCCGUGUAAUGUUCUUGAGAUUCAUCCAUGCAGCUGUGUAUACCUGCAGUGAUUGUUUCUCUUGUUGAAUUGCUGAGAAGGGUUCCAUCGUAUGCCUUUUCCAGUUUAUUUGUUCAUCUGUUGUUAGACAUUUGAGUUAUUUCCAGCUUGGGACUCUUAUGAACAAAACUGCUAUAAACAUGCAUAUUCAAGUCUUUGUGGAUAUGUGCUUUCUUUUGUCCUGGAUAAAUGUCUCCACGUGGGCUUCCUGGGUCUCACGGACCUCACCAGCUGACGUGGCCGGCCCUGGACUUGCCAUGGAGAAGGCAGAGCCUGCCUCCCAGUGGGUCCCUGUGAGGAACAGCAGUACCGGCUUGUCGUCUUUCUGGGAAAUGCAUUUCGCCUCCUCUAGGAACCUCCCGGAUGACCCAGAGUGUUCUCCACCCACUUUUCCUGCCCUGUGCGGUCACCUCAUUUCUACAGGCUUGGGGAAACAAAUGCAAAGUGCUUUCCAGAACGUUUUUGUCUUACACAUGACACUUCUAUGGAAAAAAUGACUUUUUUUCCAUUGUUCCUUCCAGAACCUGAGCACAUCCCUCUGCUGGGAGGACGCUGUCUGUCCAAAUGUCACUGUCCCCCAUUUAGGAGCAGCAGCAGGGCCUUGCUUCAUGUUCAUAUGGGUGUUGAUUGGGAUAUGAUGGAUUCUUCUGUGUACUUUGGAGGAUUUUCUCCUUAGUUUGAAUAGUAAACUGUAAACUCAGACUCAGGACCUGGCUGGUGGAGAGCUGGGUCCCUGGUUGGGGCUGACCACAGAGG
rnacentral:lncRNA from 1 species